UUCAUGUGGCAUAGUGGUUGAGUGCUGAACUAUGACUCUGGAGACCAGGGUUCGAUUUCCAGCUUAGCCAUGAAA